GCUGGGCGCAGUGGCACGUGCCUGUAGUCCCAGCUACUCGGGAGGCUGAGGCUGGAGGAUCACUUGAGCCCAGGAGUUCUGGGCUGUAGUGCGCUAUGCCAAUCAGGUGUCCACACUAAGUUCAGCAUCAAUAUGGUGACCUCCCGGGAGCGGGGGACCACCAGGUUGCCUAAGGAGGGGUGAACCAGCCCAGGUCGGAAAUGGAGCAGGUCAAAACUCCCGUGCUCAUCAGUAGUGGGAUCGCGCCUGUGAAUAGCCACUGCACUCCAGCCUGGGCAACAUAGCAAGACCCUGUCUCU
rnacentral:SRP_RNA from 1 species